UCCUGGUGGCUCAGAGGUUAAAGCGUCUGCCUGCAAUGCGGGAGACCCGGGUUUGAUCCCUGGGUCGGGAA
rnacentral:tRNA from 1 species